GAUGAACGCUCGCGGCAGGCCUAACACAUGCAAGUCGAGGGAGAAGCCCUUUCGGGGGCAGAAACCGGCGCACGGGUGCGUAACGCGUAUGCAACCUACCUUUCACAGGGGGAUAGCCCGAAGAAAUUUGGAUUAAUACCCCAUAAUAUUAUUGGAUGGCAUCAUUUGAUAAUUAAAACUGCGGUGGUGAAAGAUGGGCAUGCGUCCUAUUAGCUAGUUGGAGUGGUAACGGCACCCCAAGGCUACGAUAGGUAGGGGUCCUGAGAGGGAGAUCCCCCACACUGGUACUGAGACAGGGACCAGACUCCUACGGGAGGCAGCAGUGAGGAAUAUUGGUCAAUGGUCGGAAGACUGAACCAGCCAUGCCGCGUGCAGGAAGAAUGCCUUAUGGGUUGUAAACUGCUUUUAUAUGGGAAGAAUAAGGCGUACGUGUACGUUGAUGACGGUACCAUAUGAAUAAGCAUCGGCUAACUCCGUG
rnacentral:rRNA from 1 species